GACGGGCGCCAGGGGGCAACUUCCUACAGGAGAGCGUCCCGUUAGAAUGACAGGGCUUUUGCAAAAGUCUGACACCCGUGGCACAGAGCGCCCCAGAUAUGGAGGGUUUCACAGGCUCAUGUGUGGCUUCUUCAGUCCUCUCUUCAUUCAUUCAUGUAUUUAUUUAUUCAACAACAUAUUACUAAGGAACCUCCUUAAGCCAGGAUGCUGAACGUGGAAAAAUAGUUGACUCUUGAACAAUGUGGGGGCUAGGGGCACCAACCUCCUGUGCAGUUGAAAAUCGACAUAUAACUUUGACUAGCCAAAAACUUCACUACAAUAGCCUGCUGUCAACCUGAAGUCUUACCAAUAAUAUCAACAGUCAAUUAAACAUAUUUUGUAUGUUAUAUGUAUUCUCUGCUGUAGUUUUACAAUAAAGUAAGCUGGAG
rnacentral:lncRNA from 1 species